rnacentral:tRNA from 1 species
GCGGAAGUGGCGGAAUUGGUAGACGCACCAGAUUUAGGUUCUGGCGCCGUAAGGUGUGAGAGUUCAAGUCUUUUCUUCCGGACCA